AUAUAUAUAUAUAUAUAUAUAUAUAUAUAGAGAGAGAGAGAGAGAGAGAGAGAGAGAGAGAGAGAUGGAGUUUCACACUUGUUGCCCAGGCUAGAGUGCAAUGGCACGAUCUUGACUCACUGCAACCUCUGCCCCUCCAGUUCAAGCGAUUCUCCUGCCUCAGCCUCCUGAGUAGCUGGAAUUAAAGGCACUCACCACCAUGCCUUGCUAAUUUUUGUAUUUUUAGUAGAGACAGGGUUUCGCUAUGUUGACCAGGCUGGUCUCGAACACCUGACCUCAGGUGAUCCAUCCACCUCGGCCUCCCAAUAUGCUGGGAUUACAGGUGUGAGCCACUGCGCCCAGCCUGCAGAAAUAUAUUUUAGUACUAACUCUCUGGUGUUUUCUAAAGCUAUAGAUUUUGAAAAAAUGUGUUUUUCUAAAUGUAUUACAUUUGCAGAGUUUUUCUCCCAUACAGAUUCACUGAUGUUGAAAAAACUUUGAGCAACUGCUUCAGGGUUUUUCUCUAGUACAAAAUGUACAUGAUAAGCUUUAUGAUA
rnacentral:lncRNA from 1 species